rnacentral:rRNA from 1 species
UGGGGAAUAUUGCACAAUGGGGGGAACCCUGAUGCAGCAACGCCGCGUGAAGGAGGAAGUAGUUCGCUAUGUAAACUUCUAUCGACAGGGACGAAAUAGAUGACGGUACCUGAAUAAGAAGCACCGGCUAAAUACGUGCCAGCAGCCGCGGUAAUACGUAUGGUGCAAGCGUUAUCCGGAUUUACUGGGUGUAAAGGGUGAGUAGGCGGUCAGGCAAGUCAUAUGUGAAAUUUCCAAGCUCAACUUGGGAGCUGCAUAAGAAACUGUCAGACUUGAGUACAGGAGAGGUAAGCGGAAUUCCCAGUGUAGCGGUGAAAUGCGUAGAUAUUGGGAAGAACACCGGUGGCGAAGGCGGCUUACUGGACUGUUACUGACGCUGAGUCACGAAAGCGUGGGGAGCGAACAGG